UAUAAUUUAGUAUAGGAUGUACUUAAGUUUUUGAUACUUAAAGAGAUAGAAUUGAUCUGUCAAUUAUAA
rnacentral:tRNA from 1 species